CCUGACUGCUAUCGGAUUGAUACUAAGCCAUGCGAGUCAUUGUAGUAAUACAAGGCAGACGUCUCAGUAACGCGUAGUCAACCUAACCUAUGGACGGGAAUAACCUCGGGAAACUGAGUAUAAUGCCCGAUAGAACAUUAUGCCUGGAAUGGUUUAUGUUCCAAAUGAUUUAUCGCCGUAGGAUGGGACUGCGGCCUAUCAGUUUGUUGGUGAGGUAAUGGCCCACCGAGACUAUUACAGGUACGGGCUCUGAGAGGAGUGGCCCGGAGAUGGGUACUGAGACACGGACCCAGGCCCUAUGGGGCGCAGCAGGCGAGAAAACUUUGCAAUGUGCGAAAGCACGACAAGGUUAAUCCGAGUGGUUUCUGCUAAAGGAACCUUUUGUCGGUCCUAGAAACACCGAUGAAUAAGGGGUGGGCAAGUUCUGGUGUCAGCCGCCGCGGUAAAACCAGCACCUCAAGUGGUCAGGAUGAUUAUUGGGCCUAAAGCAUCCGUAGCCGGCUUUGUUAGUUUUCGGUUAAAUCUGUACGCUUAACGUACAGGCUGCCGGGAAUACUGCAGAGCUAGGGAGUGGGAGAGGUAGACGGUACUCGGUAGGAAGGGGUAAAAUCCUUUGAUCUAUUGAUGACCACCUGUGGCGAAGGCGGUCUACCAGAACACGUCCGACGGUGAGGGAUGAAAGCUGGGGGAGCAAACCGGAUUAGAUACCCGGGUAGUCCCAGCUGUAAACUAUGCAAACUCAGUGAUGCAUUGGCUUGUGGCCAAUGCAGUGCUGCAGGGAAAGCCGUUAAGUUUGCCGCCUGGGAAGUACGUACGCAAGUAUGAAACUUAAAGGAAUUAGCGGGGGAGCACCACAAGGGGUGAAGCCUGCGGUUC
rnacentral:rRNA from 1 species